AUUGAACGCUGGCGGCAGGCCUAACACAUGCAAGUCGAACGGUAACAGGAAGAAGCUUGCUUCUUUGCUGACGAGUGGCGGACGGGUGAGUAAUGUCUGGGAAACUGCCUGAUGGAGGGGGAUAACUACUGGAAACGGUAGCUAAUACCGCAUAACGUCGCAAGACCAAAGAGGGGGACCAUCGGGCCUCUUGCCAUCGGAUGUGCCCAGGUGGGAUUAGCUAGUAGGUGGGGUAACGGCUCACCUAGGCGACGAUCCCUAGCUGGUCUGAGAGGAUGACCAGCCACACUGGAGCUGAGCCACGGUCCAGACUCCUACGGGAGGCCGCAGUGGGGAAUAUUGCACAAAGGGCGCAAGCCUGAUGCAGCCAUGCCGCGUGUAUGAAGAAGGCCUUCGGGUUGUAAAGUACUUUCAGCGGGGAGGAAGGGAGUAAAGUUAAUACCUUGACUCAUUGACGUUACCCGCAGAAGAAGCACCGGCUAACUCCGUG
rnacentral:rRNA from 1 species